rnacentral:rRNA from 1 species
GAAAGAUUUAUCAGGUUUUGGAUGGGACUCGCGGCCUAUCAGCUUGUUGGUGAGGUAAUGGCUCACCAAGGCGACGACGGGUAGCCGGCCUGAGAGGGUGACCGGCCACACUGGGACUGAGACACGGCCCAGACUCCUACGGGAGGCAGCAGUGGGGAAUAUUGCACAAUGGGCGCAAGCCUGAUGCAGCGACGCCGCGUGAGGGAUGACGGCCUUCGGGUUGUAAACCUCUUUCAGUAGGGAAGAAGCGAAAGUGACGGUACCUGCAGAAGAAGCACCGGCUAACUACGUGCCAGCAGCCGCGGUAAUACGUAGGGUGCGAGCGUUAUCCGGAAUUAUUGGGCGUAAAGAGCUCGUAGGCGGUUUGUCGCGUCUGUCGUGAAAGUCCGGGGCUUAACCCCGGAUCUGCGGUGGGUACGGGCAGACUAGAGUGCAGUAGGGGAGACUGGAAUUCCUGGUGUAGCGGUGGAAUGCGCAGAUAUCAGGAGGAACACCGAUGGCGAAGGCAGGUCUCUGGGCUGUAACUGACGCUGAGGAGCGAAAGCAUGGGGAGCGAACAGGAUUAGAUACCCUGGUAGUCCAUGCCGUAAACGUUGGGCACUAGGUGUGGGGACCAUUCCACGGUUUUCCGCGCCGCAGCUAACGCAUUAAGUGCCCCGCCUGGGGAGUACGGCCGCAAGGCUAAAACUCAAAGGAAUUGACGGGGGCCCGCACAAGCGGCGGAGCAUGCGGAUUAAUUCGAUGCAACGCGAAGAACCUUACCAAGGCUUGACAUGUUCUCGAUCGCCGUAGAGAUACGGUUUCCCCUUUGGGGCGGGUUCACAGGUGGUGCAUGGUUGUCGUCAGCUCGUGUCGUGAGAUGUUGGGUUAAGUCCCGCAACGAGCGCAACCCUCGUUCCAUGUUGCCAGCACGUAAUGGUGGGGACUCAUGGGAGACUGCCGGGGUCAACUCGGAGGAAGGUGAGGACGACGUCAAAUCAUCAUGCCCCUUAUGUCUUGGGCUUCACGCAUGCUACAAUGGCCGGUACAAUGGGUUGCGAUACUGUGAGGUGGAGCUAAUCCCAAAAAGCCGGUCUCAGUUCGGAUUGGGGUCUGCAACUCGACCCCAUGAAGUCGGAGUCGCUAGUAAUCGCAGAUCAGCAACGCUGCGGUGAAUACGUUCCCGGGCCUUGUACACACCGCCCGUCAAGUCACGAAAGUUGGUAACACCCGAAGCCGGUGGCCUAACCCUUGUGGGGGGAGCCGUCGAAGGUGGGACCAGCGAUUGGGACUAAGUCGUAACAAGGGUAGCC